rfam:Schistosoma haematobium scaffold409_22, whole genome shotgun sequence.
AUCCAGCUGAUGAGUCCCAGUUGGGACGAAAUGCGCUCAUACUGGAU